GUCUACGGCCAUACCACCCUGAACGCGCCCGAUCUCGUCUGAUCUUGGAAGCUAAGCAGGGUCGGGUCUGGUUAGUACUUGGAUAGGAGACCGCCUGGGAAUACCGGGUGCUGUAGGCU
rnacentral:rRNA from 1 species